CCUACGGGAGGCAGCAGUGAGGAAUAUUGGUCAAUGGACGAGAGUCUGAACCAGCCAAGUAGCGUGAAGGAUGACUGCCCUAUGGGUUGUAAACUUCUUUUAUAUGGGAAUAAAACAGGGUAUGCAUACUCUUUUGUAUGUACCAUAUGAAUAAGGAUCGGCUAACUCCGUGCCAGCAGCCGCGGUAAUACGGAGGAUCCGAGCGUUAUCCGGAUUUAUUGGGUUUAAAGGGAGCGUAGGUGGAUUGUUAAGUCAGUUGUGAAAGUUUGCGGCUCAACCGUAAAAUUGCAGUUGAAACUGGCAGUCUUGAGUACAGUAGAGGUGGGCGGAAUUCGUGGUGUAGCGGUGAAAUGCUUAGAUAUCACGAAGAACUCCGAUUGCGAAGGCAGCUCACUGGACUGCAACUGACACUGAUGCUCGAAAGUGUGGGUAUCAAACAGGAUUAGAUACCCUAGUAGUC
rnacentral:rRNA from 1 species